AUAAGUCAGGGGUGAAAGUCGGUUGCUCAACAAUCGAAUUGCCGUUGAAACUGUGUGGCUCGAGUAUAGAUGAGGUAGGCGGAAUGUGUAGUGUAGCGGUGAAAUGCAUAGAUAUUACACAGAACCCCAAUUGCGAAGGCAGCUUACCAAACUAUUACUGACGCUGAAGCACGAAAGCGUGGGUAGCGAACAGGAUUAGAUACCCUGGUAGUCCACGCCGUAAACUAUGCUCACUCGCUGUUGGCAAUAGAUCGUCAGCGGCUAAGGGAAACCGAUAAGUGAGCCACCUGGGGAGUACGAUCGCAAGAUUGAAACUCAAAGGAAUUGACGGGGGCCCGCACAAGCGGAGGAACAUGUGGUUUAAUUUGAUGAUACGCGAGGAACCUUACCUGGGCUUAAAUGUAGAGUGCAUAAAGUGGAAACAUUUUUUUCCUUCGGGACUCUUUACAAGGUGCUGCAUGGUUGUCGUCAGCUCGUGCCGUGAGGUGUCGGGUUAAGUCCCAUAACGAGCGCAACCCCUAUCGUUAGUUACCAGCACGUAUUGGUGGGGACUCUAGCGAAACUGCCGGUGUAAACCGUGAGGAAGGUGGGGAUGACGUCAAAUCAGCACGGUCCUUAUGUCCAGGGCUACACACGUGUUACAAUGGUCGGUACAGUGGGCAGCCACAUAGCAAUAUGGAGCUAAUCUCAAAAGCCGAUCUCAGUUCGGAUUGGAGUCUGCAACCCGACUCCAUGAAGGUGGAUUCGCUAGUAAUCGCGCAUCAGCCAUGGCGCGGUGAUACGUUCCCGGGCAUUGUACACACCGCCCGUCAAGCCAUGGAAGUUUGGGGUGCCUGAAGUUCGUAACCGCAAGGAGCGACACUAGGGUAAAACA
rnacentral:rRNA from 1 species